GCUACUUACGUGUUUCAUUAAAAGUGCAACACUUUUGUUUAAUAUUCAACAAAUACUAUAAAACUGCACUUAGAUCAAAUAUAACUCGGGUUAAAUUAAUGAAUGAAGUAUAAAAUCACUAUUCCUGGAUGUAGAAAAUGUUCCUGUAAGGAUGCAGUUUUUCUUCUGUAUGUUUUGUUCUUAGUAUAAUUUAAGGUUGAUUUUAUAUUUGGGAAAAGUGCUUUAGAGUUUCAAGAGAAACUUUAUCUACUUACUUAUAUUCAUGUAAAUGUGUCAAAAUUAACCACAAGGCUCCACAAAGUUGUUAGAGUUAAAUGACUUUAAUUUUCUUGUAUUAUUUAAGUUGAAUUAUUGCCUCAUGAAAUGUUAAUGGUAAUUUAUUGCAAAUUGUUAAAAAAAAUGAUAUUAACUCUUAUUUCCACUCUUGCAUCACAAAAGGUCCAGAAAACGAAAAUGCCAGAGUCCCUCUGGAGGAAGUUUUCGACUCACUCAGAAACAAUAAAAAUCGCUCGCGGAGACUUCUCCUGUUUCAAAGGAGUUUCUUAUACUUAUAAAAGUAACAAAA